UCUACCUAUAAAAAUCAUGUGUCUCUGAUAAUUCCUGUUAAGCCGUGAAGAAAAAUGGAGGGAGCACCGCAAAGGCAGGAAAUGUCCUACGCUGAUCACUUUCAAAAGCGUCGUGAAGAGAAAGGCUGUCUCUAUGCUUGUUUGUUCGCACUGUUCUGCUGCUUUUGCUGCUAUGAGAGUUGCGAGUGCUGUGUGGAAAGCGUCUGUUGCUGCUGCUGAUAUAUAUAUAUAUAUAUAUAUAUAUUCUUUAUUGUUACUGAACUGAAGAAGAUAAUGAAAGACUUUCAUCUGGUGAAUUAUGUAA